GUUCCUUGGAAAAGGACAGCUGAGAGGGUGAGACUCCCGUCCGCCUGGUAGAGUGAGUCAUGUGUCAACGAGUCGAGUUGUUUGGGAUUGCAGCUCUAAUUUGGUGGUAAAUUCCAUCUAAAGCUAAAUAUUGGUGGGAGACCGAUAGCGUACAAGUACCGUGAGGGGAAGAUGCAAAGAACUUUGAAAAGAGAGUUAAAGAGUACCUGAAAUUGCUGAAACGGAAGCGAAGGAAACCAGUGUUUGUUGGUUCAUAUUUCCCUGGCCACUUGUGGUUUGGGCGCUGUGAGCUUGCGUGUGUUUGUCUUGGUUGAUCCCUUUGGAAGAGCGCAGUCAGAGUUGAUGUCU
rnacentral:rRNA from 1 species